ACGUGGGUAAAUGGAUUUGGAGUUAAUUUAGUGAGUCAGAGGGUGAAACAGCCACCAGUGAUGUUUUAAGCUGCAGCAGCAACCUGAACGCUCAGAGCGCGGCAUCGGGGGCUGAUCUCUUCUGCUCUCCGACGGCAUUCUGCCUCACUGUGAGUCGAGGGCUGCAAUUAGAAAUACUGUAGUUUCCCAUCUGUGCUCUCAGUUCCUGCACCCUCUGACUUCAGACAUGCUUUUUUUUCAUUUAUUUGUCUGAGAGGUUUUGUAAACUGCUGCAGGAAGAAGAUGUUUUAUUAAUGAUUAUUCUGGUUGAUUGACUAACAAACCCUGAGGCGUUCUGCUUCCUUAAGUGGUGGCUUUCUGUUCUCUACGGAAGCCGCAAACAGACUACCUUGCUUACCUUGCCUUUUCUUGUGAUGAUUAAACCGUUUUCUGGUGAUAACAUUAUCCAUCAUCUUUUUUUUUUUUUUUUUUGCUUUUCUUUGAGAGACACCACAUAUUUUUUGUUAGUGUGAGAACUAGAAAACUGGAUUCUCAUUGGUACAAUUUCAGUAAUUUGUAGCUGCGUUUCCAUUACACAUAUACGCAAAACAAUAUAGAAAUUCAUUUUUGGAUAAGCUGUGUGAAGCUGUCACAAACAGGCAGACAGCUGGUUCCACGUGCAGCAGGUUUAUUUGUUCAGACAGGAAUAAGGCACAGCUGAAAGUCCACAAAGCUAAAUCAGGGUCAGACAGGUGGAGGUCAAUCACAAGUAUGGGAGUAUCCAAAAAGUGAGUAGAUGUGUCAGGGUCAGGGCAGGCGGCAAGCAAUCAGAAAACAAGCAAGGUCAGAAACAUAAUAUCAGGUCCAGAUAGGAACGCUCAGUAAUACAGGCAGGGUAGCACAAACAAUACUUCGCUCUCAAGUGUCCUGUAGGUGAUUGGCAAGGUGAGUCACCUGAGCUUCAUCUGGGGAGUGUUACAUGUUCAUUUCUAUAUCCCCCCCAAAAACAUAGAAACUUUGUUUUUCUUUUGUAAAUGUGAGUUGUUUUCUCUUUUUUUUUCUUCAAACUUGUGGUAUUUCUAUUAGGGGAAUUUAUAGCCACAAACAGGGGCGGACUUACCAUUUAGCAAAGGUAGGCGAUCACCUGGGCCCCCAAACAAUCAGGGAUCCCAAGCUUAACACUUAAAAAAUAGUCAAAAAUGUUUCAUUAUUGGACUCUGUCAUAAAAAAAACCAUAAGGCAGAUCAUGUGAUCAUGUCAAAGCGUCCCCCCCCCAUCCUUCUACAU